rnacentral:rRNA from 1 species
AGUAGAGUGGCAAACGGGUGAGUAACACGUGGGUGACCUGCCUUCGAGCGGGAGAUAACGCCCCGAAAGGGACGCUAAUACCGCAUAACAUCCUGCCUUUGAAAAGGUGGAGAUCAAAGCUGGGGAUCGCAAGACCCGGCACUUGAAGAGGGGCCCGCGUCUGAUUAGCUAGUUGGUGGGGUAACGGCCUACCAAGGCAACGAUCAGUAUCCGGCCUGAGAGGGCGGUCGGACACACUGGGACUGAGACACGGCCCAGACUCCUACGGGAGGCAGCAGUGGGGAAUUGUUCGCAAUGGGCGCAAGCCUGACGACGCAACGCCGCGUGGAGGAUGAAGAUUUUCGGAUCGUAAACUCCUGUCGAAUGGGACGAACAGAUUGCGGGUGAACAGCCCGUAGUCCUGACGGUACCGUUAAAGGAAACCCCGGCUAACUCCGUGCCAGCAGCCGCGGUAAUACGGGGGGGGUAAGCGUUGUUCGGAAUUACUGGGCGUAAAGGGCUCGUAGGCGGCCAACUAAGUCAUACGUGAAAUCCCUCAGCUUAACUGGGGAACUGCGUGUGAUACUGGAUGGCUUGGAUUUGGGAGAGGGAUGCGGAAUUCCAGGUGUAGCGGUGAAAUGCGUAGAUAUCUGGAGGAACACCGGUGGCGAAGGCGGCAUCCUGGACCAAUAUUGACGCUGAGGAGCGAAAGCUAGGGGAGCAAACGGGAUUAGAU